rnacentral:rRNA from 1 species
UGGGGAAUCUUGCACAAUGGGGGAAACCCUGAUGCAGCGACGCCGCGUGAACGAUGAAGCCCUUCGGGGUGUAAAAUUCUUUCGACAGGAACGAUAAUGACGGUACCUGGAGAAGAAGCUGCGGCUAACUACGUGCCAGCAGCCGCGGUAAUACGUAGGCAGCGAGCGUUGUUCGGAAUUACUGGGCGUAAAGCGUGCGUAGGCGGUCUGUUAAGUCUGCUGUGAAAUCCCCGGGCUCAACCUGGGAAUGGCAGUGGAAACUGGCGGGCUAGAGUACGGUAGAGGAUGGUGGAAUUCCCGGUGUAGCGGUGAAAUGCGUAGAGAUCGGGAGGAACACCAGUGGCGAAGGCGGCCAUCUGGACCAGUACUGACGCUGAGGCACGAAAGCGUGGGGAGCAAACA